GCCGGGCGUGGUGGCGCAUGCCUGUAGUUCCAGCUACUCGGGAGGCUGAGGCUGGAGGAUCUCUUGAGCCCAGGUGUUCUGGGCUGUAGUGUGCUAUGCUGAUCAAGUGUCCGCACUAAGUUCGGCACCUAUAUGGUGACCUCCCAGGAGCGGAGAUCACCAGGUUGCCUAAGGAGGGGUGAACCGGCCCAGGUCAGAAACGGAGCAGGUCAAAACUCCCGUGCUGAUCAGUAGUGGGAUCGCGCCUGUGAAUAGCCACUGCGCUCCAGCCUGGGCAACAUAGCGAGACCCCGUCUCU
rnacentral:SRP_RNA from 1 species